rnacentral:tRNA from 1 species
GAGGGAAUAGCUCAGUGGUAGAGUGCAUGCCUAGCAUGCACGAGGUCCUGGGUUCAAUCCCCAGUACCUUCA